UUGAGAUGGCCUCUCGCCCUAUUCAGUGUAACAGCUGUGGUAGUGGGUUUGGUCGCUCGCAUUUAAAUUGGAAGGGUAAUGGUGGACCGCACUUCUCCCUUAGUAGGACGUUGCGACCUGUCAAAUAAUAUCCUAAGUAUUUGGCUAAUUUGUCUGUUUUUAGGCAGUACUGAAAGGUAUUUCCUUUAACAGUUUUAGCCGUUUACAUACUGGAUAUAAUUGACAGUAACGAAUCAUGGUGUUGAGCCACUUACUUUGUAAGUGUCCUUUAUGGCUGUUUGCAAGUGGGUUGGUUAAUUAGUUUUAGUCGGAUUUUGGUCCGUCUAACUAUUCCGCCUACUGUUGGUAAACUGUUCCUUGGACAGUGCUUAUAACACCGGUCGGCAGCGAUUCAGGUUCAGGCUCUUAUCCGACCCGUCUUGAAACACGGACCAAGGAGUUUAGCGUGUACGCAAGUCAUUGGGUGUAUAAAACCCAAAGGCGCAUG
rnacentral:rRNA from 1 species